CUCCCAAAGUGCUGGGAUUACAGGCAUGAGCCACCUCACCUGGCCUGGGGGAGCAUUUCUGACAUUGUACGUACCUAAAGUACCUUUCGGCGCUCCCUAUCAUGUCACCCUGUUUUCCUCAGAGCUCUUGGCACAGUCUGAAAUCAUUGUUUACUUACUUAUUAUGGUCUGUUCCCCUUCAUCUCCCUUCCACCACUAAGAUGUGAGCUGUUGGACACAGGGGCCUUUUUGGUGUUUUUUCAGAACUGUAUCUUCAGGGCACAAGAACUCCACUGUUUCUGCGCAGAAUGAGAGGAGAUUCUUAGCUUUCAACACCCUCAGAAGCUCAUCAUUUGGGUCCAGAACUCCACUGUUUCUAUGCAGAAUGAGAGGAGAUUCUUAGCUUUCAACACUCUCAGAAGCUCAUCAUUUGGAUGCUUCUGCCUUUUUGGUUUUAUGAUUUUGAAGGACCUCAGCUCCCUGCCUCCUAGAUUUUUGCCACUGUGGUCUCAGAGCUGUGUAAUUUGGAUGACUGAGAUGGAAAAACCUCUGGAAAACCUUUAUUUACGUUGAAUAAGUAUUCCUUGAAUCCUUCCUCAGCAUCCUGGGUUAUAUUUGUUUGCUCUGCUCAUGAUACCUUCAUGCCAAGGAGACUGCUAUCAAUUCUCUUAAAACAGAUCCCAACUCCCUGCUCAUAGUGGCCAAAGGAAUGGAGAUUUAAGGCUGAGUUUACUUACCUGCAUCAUCUUCAUCUUUCCAGGAAGCAUCACUGCACAAACCUCUGUUUCUACACUUCCAUUCAAUCAGCUCACUUUUCUGCUCUUGGUACCCUUCGUUUCUUGUGAACUCUCCAGCAGGAGUGACUUGCAAUUUGUAUACACUGACAUUUAAGUUCUUGGAAGUGCUGGAGAAGCGUAUCAAAGUAAAUUAUCCUGAUGUAUAAUUUUGUGCAUGUAAAACUCACAGUGGAAGUGCCUGUUCUAAUUUCAGUACGGAACACAGAUAAACAUUUGGAUUAAUAAUCCAGUUUUGAAAGGGUACUUUAUUUAAAGUACAAUGUGCUGAAAAAAUGAAAAAAAGAAAGGGUGCUUUCAAAUUUGUACCUAGUAAACUUUCACUAGAUCACAUCGUAUGUUUAUCACGAGUCAUGUAUGUGUUGUAUUUCUAUGUGUAAUUGUCAGGCACUUUUAAUUUCUAGUUUGCAUUUACCAUGCCAGCCUCCUCCUCAACCCCAAAUUUCCUUUGGUUAUAAAUUUAGUAAAUUUGAAAGAGCCAGCAGGGAUUAAACCCUGAAGGAAUUCAAAUGACUCUCUGACUUUAUUCCUCAUUUCAGUCGUUUCAAAAAAUUAUGCUUUCAUUUAGGAUAGGCUCUGGGAAUCAAAGUGUGUAUAUUUUGCCCAAGUGGAAGACACAGUUUAAAGUUAACAUCCUAGCUACUAGAAGGGAAAGCGAACAACAUCGCUGGAAAAGGAGCCUAUCGUUUUUACCUUACACUAAAACUACAUUGCGAAGAUCAAAAGAAAUCAGGAUGAGAGUGUGCCUCUUAAUGCCAGGCCCAAAGUAGAUGCUUAUUAAAUGAGUCAAUCCUUCACAAAUGGUUGAUAGGUCUUACUAUUUCUCCCCUAUUCAAAUCUAGAAUUUGUUCACUCCCAUAUACUAAUCGAUAGUGAAGGGAAAGCACAAAAUAGAUCAUCGUCCAAGCAUCAGGUAUUAGCCUGAGAAAUCCAGAAUCCCAUAUUUGUAACUGUCCUCCUUGAGAAAGUGCAUUUUUCAGGCGGAUUCUAGCCCCAUUUUUCUUUUUACUAUUUUUACAUAUUAUAAGAGAUGGCUUAGAAAUACUUUGAAAUUUGCCUCUUCGUCACAACACACUGAACGUUAAAAUCAAGUGGUUGGGUUUUUAUUGGCUUAUUUUGUCUUUAACCGUUUUAUUUCUCGAGCUGUCAUCGUUCUUUUCGUAUUACAUCCUUAUGAACCUUUUCUGGAUUAAAAAAAUGACGUUAUAAUAACGAAACUCUAACUGGCGUUGGAUUAGGACGAAGUUGACUCCAUUCCUUUUCCUCCCCGUAGUGUGGGCGCUACGAGGAAAGACCUCCGCGAGAACCAGCGAAGCCCGGGCUGCCCUUGCCGUGCGGGCGCACACUUGCUCCCCGCGCCGGGCUGCCCCGGGCGG